rnacentral:rRNA from 1 species
UACAGAGGGGGCAAGCGUUGUCCGGAUUUACUGGGCGUACAGGGAGCGUAGGCGGUUGGGUAAGCCCUUCGUGAAAUCUCCGGGCCUAACCCGGAAAGUGCGGAGGGGACUGCUCGGCUAGAGGAUGGGAGAGGAGCGCGGAAUCCCCGGUGUAGUGGUGAAAUGCGUAGAGAUCGGGGGGAACACCCGUGGCGAAGGCGGCCAGCUGGGCCGACCCUGACACUGAGGCGCGAAGGCGUGGGGAGCGAACGGGG